UGGGGAAUUUUGGACAAUGGGCGAAAGCCUGAUCCAGCCAUGCCGCGUGAGUGAAGAAGGCCUUCGGGUUGUAAAGCUCUUUUAGUCGGAAAGAAAGAGUUGCAAUGAAUAAUUGUGAUUUAUGACGGUACCGACAGAAAAAGCACCGGCUAACUACGUGCCAGCAGCCGCGGUAAUACGUAGGGUGCGAGCGUUAAUCGGAAUUACUGGGCGUAAAGGGUGCGCAGGCGGUCUUGCAAGUCAGAUGUGAAAGCCCCGGGCUUAACCUGGGAAUUGCGUUUGAAACUACAAGGCUAGAGUGCAGCAGAGGGGAGUGGAAUUCCAUGUGUAGCAGUGAAAUGCGUAGAUAUCAAGAGGAACACCUGAGGCGAAGGCGGGUUGCUGGGCCGACACUGACGCUGAUGCGCGAAAGCCAGGGGAGCAAACG
rnacentral:rRNA from 1 species